CCUCCUGUCAGAAGUCCUCCAGAACAGUUCAGUGCUCUGGUGUGUGAAGAGUCUUCUCAGCUGAAAGACGAGGCUGGGGACCGGAGGCUUGUGGUGCCAGAGUGGACCUGAGGCUGGAGACAAAGGGGCCUGCAGCACCGGACCAGAGGACCAGGAAUCCAUGGCUGAUGGAGGAGCCGUGCUGAAGGAGCUGAUGGAGGAGCCGUG